AUUGAACGCUGGCGGCAGGCCUAACACAUGCAAGUCGAACGGUAACAGGAAGAAGCUUGCUUCUUUGCUGACGAGUGGCGGACGGGUGAGUAAUGUCUGGGAAACUGCCUGAUGGAGGGGGAUAACUACUGGAAACGGUAGCUAAUACCGCAUAACGUCGCAAGACCAAAGAGGGGGACCUUCGGGCCUCUUGCCAUCGGAUGUGCCCAGAUGGGAUUAGCUAGUAGGUGGGGUAACGGCUCACCUAGGCGACGAUCCCUAGCUGGUCUGAGAGGAUGACCAGCCACACUGGAACUGAGACACGGUCCAGACUCCUACGGGAGGCAGCAGUGGGGAAUAUUGCACAAUGGGCGCAAGCCUGAUGCAGCCAUGCCGCGUGUAUGAAGAAGGCCUUCGGGUUGUAAAGUACUUUCAGCGGGGAGGAAGGGAGUAAAGUUAAUACCUUUGCUCAUUGACGUUACCCUCAGAAGAAGCACCGGCUAACUCCGUG
rnacentral:rRNA from 1 species